GAACAAAGAGGAGAGAACAAAAACAAACUGUUAAUUAGUGUCCAUGAGUUGCAAUCACAGUAUGUGGCUAUGAUAUAUAUAAUGUGAAAAGCAUUGCAUUAUGUACUGUCAUUUGUGUAUUUGUUUUAAUGUUGUCAGCGCGAUAACUUUUAUUUUUUUUAGGCUACUGUUGUGAGGUAAGGACUCACACGGAAGGUAAUAUCUGUUCCAGACUGACUGAAAGACUGUUAGCUUAGCCUGUUGCUACUCAAGUCAAGGCAUCGGAUCCUAGCUGAAUUUAGCUAGCUCAGAAAACCGUUAGUGUCUACAAGUUUAGCUGCGUGACAGAUAAUCAGAACCAGCUAAAAAAAAAAAAAAAGACAGGUAGCGGUUUGGUCUACCUGGAAACGCCCAAACUUCCUCUGGAAUUGCUGCAUGUUACCUCAGUCUCUUUCUUCGGAGGACGCCCUUCCACUCAGCUGCGCUCGCGCUGCCACGCCACCGCUCUGGAUUUGAUGAGGACGGGGGGACAACGGAUUCACACAGUCACGGACAGCAACACAACAGCAACAACAACGACCAUGACAAUGACCACAACGGCAACGACGACAGUGACAGUAUUGUGGUCCAUGUAUUGAAUAAACAAUGUGCAUUGUA